AGAACACAGCAGAGCCUCUCUCUGUCCCAGGCUGGAAGGGUUGCAAAAGGACAGAACCUGCCAUGGAUGAGGUUCUAAAGCAGCAACUGAAACCCAGCAGCUGCUGCUGGCUUGGAUUCAUUCUGUUAACUAAUUAAAUGUGUGCUGGGCCAGGGAGAAGACUCCAGUUUCCCUGUAGCUUCUCUCUCUGGGAGUCUGAGGAUGACAGAAAGGGUAGUGGGCUGUUUGCUCCCUCUUAAUCCCCUUUCUGAGGGUUUCCCUCCACAGCUGGAGAUCAAGGGCUGGUCAUAAAGGAAGAUAGAAAGUUUCCCAGCUGAGAUUUGAGUUCCAGCCUCUCUCUCCUCUCUGUACUAUCAGAUUUUGGAAGAUUGACUAUUUCUUUGGCUGAUCAAAAUAAGGGGAAAUAAAAGAGGAGUGUAAAUUCUCAAGAACAAUUACUUUCAGAUCAUUGCUAAAGAUACAGAAUAGCAAGGAGUCCAGGGGAGGUACCUGUGGGACCCAAUUAGAAAUGGCUGCACUGAAGGCUGAUGUAUCACCAACAAUUAUAUUCUGAGAUCUAGCAGUUAGCCAGUUUUUAAACCCAAGUUAAUCAUGUCAUAUUCGUUUGUUAAGUACAAAUAAAAACAAAGCCAGGUCGAAAAGACCCAGAUUAA